UAGCCCCUGCUGUGCUCGUGAUUGGUAGAAUGUCCCUGAGCCAACAUCGACAAAAAGGGAACCCCCUCUUGUUCCGGUGUGCACAUCAGGCAACUGAGAGCCUAAAGGAGUAACGGGGUACCCACCUUAAGAACAUCGGUUCUAAGACCACCUGCCGACACGGCACUAUGCGGGGGCAGU
rnacentral:other from 1 species